rnacentral:rRNA from 1 species
GACGAACGCUGGCGGCGUGCUUAACACAUGCAAGUCGAACGGAAAGGCCCUGCUUUUGUGGGGUUCUCGAGUGGCGAACGGGUGAGUAACACGUGAGUAACCUGCCCUCGACUUUGGGAUAACUUCAGGAAACUGGGGCUAAUACCGGAUAGGAGCUCCUGCUGCAUGGUGGGGGUUGGAAAGUUUCGGCGGUUGGGGAUGGACUCGCGGCUUAUCAGCUUGUUGGUGGGGUAGUGGCUUACCAAGGCUUUGACGGGUAGCCGGCCUGAGAGGGUGACCGGCCACAUUGGGACUGAGAUACGGCCCAGACUCCUACGGGAGGCAGCAGUGGGGAAUAUUGCACAAUGGGCGGAAGCCUGAUGCAGCAACGCCGCGUGCGGGAUGACGGCCUUCGGGUUGUAAACCGCUUUCGCCUGUGACGAAGCGUGAGUGACGGUAAUGGGUAAAGAAGCACCGGCUAACUACGUG